CACGUAGGGCGCAAGCGUUGUCCGGAAUUAUUGGGCGUAAAGAGCUCGUAGGCGGUCUGUUGCGUCUGCUGUGAAAACUCGGGGCUUAACCCCGAGCCUGCAGUGGAUACGGGCAGACUAGAGGUAGGUAGGGGAGAAUGGAAUUCCCGGUGUAGCGGUGAAAUGCGCAGAUAUCGGGAGGAACACCGGUGGCGAAGGCGGUUCCCUGGGCCUUACCUGACGCUGAGGAGCGAAAGCGUGGGGAGCGAACGGG
rnacentral:rRNA from 1 species